AUAGGGAUCAGGGGAAGAGAUUGGACAAGGAGGGUACUGCUCACGUGGACGACUUCCACAACAGCUCUCUCACCAACGGAGCUGCUAAGAGGUGAUCCAGUAUUGUUGCUGGAGGCUCCAGGACUCAGCCAGAGACUGUUUCUCUGAACAGGGGAUGGGAGAGGAUCCAGGAGACCCAGCUCUGGCAAAGGGCGAAGAAGUGCAUGGCUAUACCACAUCACAUCCCUAGAGGGGAUGGUAAGUACGUUGAGAGGUCAACUUUCAGCUGUGUAGUAACACAUCUUUCGCCUCGUCAGAACAUUCAAUCUCUAAGUCCUGGAACUAAGAAAGAGCCAAGCUUGGAGGCAGAGGAUCUGCAGGUUGGGGUGAAGGAUUAGGCUGUCAUUUUGAGAGAGCAGAUGAAGAAUGGGCCAAUGAGGAACCGGAGUACAUACUGCCAUCUGUUCCAGGCAACUGGACAUUGAAAACUUCUCCAUAAUCAUCAACAAAUAAUUCCUGCACCUAAGAGGGGGAAAAAGGUUAUUUAUAAAAG